rnacentral:rRNA from 1 species
GAUGAACGCUGGCGGCGUGCCUAAUACAUGCAAGUCGAGCGAACAGAUGAGGAGCUUGCUCCUCUGACGUUAGCGGCGGACGGGUGAGUAACACGUGUAUAACCUACCUAUAAGAGUGGGAUAACUUCGGAAAACCGGAUCUAAUACCGGAUAAUAUAUUGAACCGCAUUGUUCGAUGGUAAAAUACGGUUUUUCUGUCUCGUAUCGAGGCAUCCGCGCCGGAUGAGCUAGUUGGGGAGGUAACGGCUUACCAAGGCUACGAUGCGUAGCCGACCUGUGAGGGUGAUCGGCGACCCUGGAGCUGAGACACGGUCCAGAGUCCUGCGGGAGGCAGCAGUAGGGAAUCGUCCGCAAUGGGCGAAAGCCUGACGGAGCAACGCCGCGUGAGUGAUGAAGGUCUUCGGAUCGUAAAACUCUGUUAUUAGGGAAGAACAGAUGUGUAAGGAGCUAUGCACGUAUUGACGGUACCUAAUCAGAAAGCCACGGCUAACUACGUG